UACGUAGGUGGCAAGCGUUGUCCGGAUUUAUUGGGCGUAAAGCGAGUGCAGGCGGUUCAAUAAGUCUGAUGUGAAAGCCUUCGGCUCAACCGGAGAAUUGCAUCAGAAACUGUUGAACUUGAGUGCAGAAGAGGAGAGUGGAACUCCAUGUGUAGCGGUGGAAUGCGUAGAUAUAUGGAAGAACACCAGUGGCGAAGGCGGCUCUCUGGUCUGCAACUGACGCUGAGGCUCGAAAGCCAUGGGUAGCGAACAGG
rnacentral:rRNA from 1 species